rnacentral:rRNA from 1 species
AUUGAACGCUGGCGGCAUGCCUUACACAUGCAAGUCGAACGGUAACGCGGGGCAACCUGGCGACGAGUGGCGAACGGGUGAGUAAUGCAUCGGAACGUGCCCAGUAGUGGGGGAUAGCCCGGCGAAAGCCGGAUUAAUACCGCAUACGACCUAUGGGUGAAAGCGGGGGAUCGUAAGGCCUCGCGCUACUGGAGCGGCCGAUGUCAGAUUAGGUUGUUGGUGGGGUAAAAGCCUACCAAGCCGACGAUCUGUAGCUGGUCUGAGAGGACGACCAGCCACACUGGGACUGAGACACGGCCCAGACUCCUACGGGAGGCAGCAGUGGGGAAUUUUGGACAAUGGGGGCAACCCUGAUCCAGCCAUGCCGCGUGCGGGAAGAAGGCCUUCGGGUUGUAAACCGCUUUUGUCAGGGAAGAAACGCUCUGAGUUAAUACCUCGGGGUAAUGACGGUACCUGAAGAAUAAGCACCGGCUAACUACGUGCCAGCCGCCGCAGUAA